rnacentral:rRNA from 1 species
UAUCGGAGAGUUUGAUCCUGGCUCAGGACGAACGCUGGCGGCGUGCCUAAUACAUGCAAGUCGAGCGAAGAGAUGGGAGCUUGCUCCCAGAUCUUAGCGGCGGACGGGUGAGUAACACGUGGGCAACCUGCCCUGCAGACUGGGAUAACUCCGGGAAACCGGAGCUAAUACCGGGUAAUACAUCGCACCGCAUGGUGCAAUGUUGAAAGUUGGCUU